GCGCAAAUUAUUAUUUUGUGUGCCGGUCGUCGUUCGUAAGCAUAAUAUUAUAUAUAGUAUCACUUUGCAAGGCGCGAAUCGCCGAAUUUAUAACAUAUUGUUGUUUGCAUGUGUGCAGAUCACCGUUUUUUUUUAUACAUAUAUCACUUGCACCAAUUUGCCGGAUAGGUAGCAGCUGGGCCAGCCGAGCACCGUCAUAUUUAAAAAAACAAAAUGUCAACACAUUAACAACUAAUAAGGAAAAAAGAACACCAGGAGAGACACAAUAAGCACGGGGGAGUGGUAGGUACGCGAUGGCGAAGUGUGGGCUACUGGUCACCUCUACACGUUCUCCCGGUCGGUCCCACGGGCGGACGAGUAGAGUCGACGGCCCGCUUGCACGUUGAAAUAGUCCCUUAGGAUUUCCGAUCUGGUCGUCGUAUUCUCGUUGCAUGAUGGUGUGGAAAACUGUACGUGCUUACUACCAGGAAAUGCAAAAUGUUAUGAACGCAAAACUAUAGAAUAUCGUCCUAAGGCGUCGUCGAAAGAUACAAAUAUUUCCCAGACGACGGGUGCCGAGUUGUUGCUAUUCUGGCCAGCGAGUACGCACACGAUAAUAUGUUCUGAUCGGUCGGCCUUAAGAUUUCGUGCCUGUUAAUUUUUUUGAAUCCAUUAUUAUUGAUACAAUGAUACCUAUAUAUUAUAGGUACCUACCUUUUUUAUACGCGUAUAGAUAUAAUAGUAUAUUAUAUUAUAAUAUUUUAACGAGGAUUCGUUUUUCGAUUUGUAUUUGGUAUAAUGUAUAUUAUACCGUUAGGGAUAAAAAGUUAUUUAUAAAUAACUUAAAAACUUAUUUUUUUCCGUAAGUAGAUAUCACAGCAUAAAAGUACAAUAAUAAUUGCGUUUUGGAUUUUCUAAUAGGUAUCGUAUAUAUUAGGUAUUAUUAUUUAAAUACUCAUAUUUUUCAGAGUAAAAAAUAUAAAAACUGCAGUGCGUGUCUAAGAUUAUAAACGCUGGAAAAUAACUAUAUUUAUGCACAGAAGUACUGCAAUAAUGUAAAAGUAGGUAUAAUAAUAAUAAUUAUAUUAUUUUUGAUUUACUAAUGUGGUGUUUAUAUUGUUAAUUUUGUUUCAUUUUUUUCUUUGUUGUUCUGUGCUCAAACUUAUAUACCCUCCAAAACAAGCCUAUGAUUAAA